rnacentral:SRP_RNA from 1 species
GGGUGGGACCGGCGCGGCGGGAUCCGCCGAACCCCGUCAGGUCCGAGAGGAAGCAGCGGUAAGGUGGUCACCCCGGGCGCCGCCGGCAAACCUGUCUGGA